AACGCUAGCUACAGGCUUAACACAUGCAAGUCGAGGGGCAGCAUGAACUUAGCUUGCUAAGUUUGAUGGCGACCGGCGCACGGGUGAGUAACGCGUAUCCAACCUUCCGUACACUCAGGAAUAGCCUUUCGAAAGAAAGAUUAAUACCUGAUGGUAUGAUGAGAUUGCAUGAAAUCAUCAUUAAAGAUUCAUCGGUGUACGAUGGGGAUGCGUUCCAUUAGAUAGUAGGCGGGGUAACGGCCCACCUAGUCGACGAUGGAUAGGGGUUCUGAGAGGAAGGUCCCCCACAUUGGAACUGAGACACGGUCCAAACUCCUACGGGAGGCAGCAGUGAGGAAUAUUGGUCAAUGGGCGCGAGCCUGAACCAGCCAAGUAGCGUGAAGGAUGAAGGUCCUACGGAUUGUAAACUUCUUUUAUAAGGGAAUAAAGUCAUCUACGUGUAGGUGUUUGUAUGUACCUUAUGAAUAAGCAUCGGCUAACUCCGUGCCAGCAGCCGCGGUAAUACGGAGGAUGCGAGCGUUAUCCGGAUUUAUUGGGUUUAAAGGGAGCGUAGACGGGUCGUUAAGUCAGCUGUGAAAGUUUGAGGCUCAACCUUAAAAUUGCAGUUGAUACUGGCGUCCUUGAGUACGGUUGAGGCAGGCGGAAUUCGUGGUGUAGCGGUGAAAUGCUUAGAUAUCACGAAGAACUCCGAUUG
rnacentral:rRNA from 1 species